rnacentral:misc_RNA from 1 species
GAUGAAGAACGUAGCGAAAUGCGAUACGUAAUGUGAAUUGCAGAAUUCAGUGAAUCAUCGAGUCUUUGAACGCACAUUGCGCCCUCUGGUAUUCCGGAGGGCAUGCCUGUCCGAGCGUCAUUGCUGCCCUCAAGCACGGCUUGUGUGUUGGGCCCCGCCCCCCGAUCUCGGGGGGCGGGCCCGAAAGGCAGCGGCGGCACCGCGUCCGGUCCUCGAGCGUAUGGGGCUUUGUCACCCGCUCUGUAGGCCCGGCCGGCGCCUGCCGAUCAACCAAACUUUUUUCCAGGUUGACCUCGGAUCAGGUAGGGAUACCCGCUGAACUUAAGCAUAUCAAUAAGCGGAGGA